UACGAAGGGUGCAGGCGUUAAUCGGAAUUACUGGGCGGAAAGGGUGCGUAGGCGGUUCGUUAAGUCUGUCGUGAAAUCCCCGGGCUCAACCUGGGAAUGGCGAUGGAUACUGGCGAGCUAGAGUGUGUCAGAGGAUGGUGGAAUUCCCGGUGUAGCGGUGAAAUGCGUAGAGAUCGGGAGGAACAUCAGUGGCGAAGGCGGCCAUCUGGGACAACACUGACGCUGAAGCACGAAAGCGUGGGGAGCAAACAGG
rnacentral:rRNA from 1 species